AGCCGGGUGUGAGUCUUGAUCUGGGUGUGUGUGUGUGUGUGUGUGUGUGUGUGUGUGUGUAUGUGUGUGUGUGUGACGAGAAGAGAGAGAGAGAAUAGAGAGGAAGAGAGAGCGAGAGGUAGGAGUUGUGUAAAAGGGACUGAAGUCCUGCGUCUUCUGCCGUCUUCUUCUUCUGCUGCUGCUGCUGCUGCGUUGUUAAAAACUAGAGGCUCCACACACACAGACGCGCACACACGCGGAUGCUGUUUCAUGCCGUGGACGCGAAACAAAUCCACAGACAGCGACACACCCAAGCGGAGGACUCCGCCGAUCAAGUGGGCGAGGCAGGCUGAACUCCGCCGGACCGUUCAGACGGAGGUCGGAGCGGCCAGGAGCGACCCGGCCGGUGGUCAAGAUAUAGCAGCACACACAGAGCAGCAGCAGCAGAAGGAGGAAGGAGAAGGAGUCAGCAUUCGUGCCUCCACCGGCGGGCGUGCGUCACUCCACGGCUGUCGGAUUGAAGCUCUCACGCUCGCUGGCUGACUCCCAGAGCUCCCUCACCCUUGGCCCCAAAUGGCUGACACACAGCAGUUCUUCACUGGCAAGCUUUAUGUUCCUGUACACAUGCUAAAGCUGCCAGCUGAAGAACUGCUCUGGUCAGCCCUGCCCCGGAUGACUCAAGGAAAGGAAGCGGAUGGAAGGGCGGUGGAAACGGCACUGAGGAAGAUGGUUGUUUUCACUCUCUCGGUGUUCGGGCUUCUAUAACCUGCCAGAGUUUUAAGGCAGCCAUUGUUUAUAUUCCUGUUUUGGUCGCAUUAAAGUUUUUAUAAGGUUUAUUUCAUUAUUCGUCAAAAGCUGCUUUAAUUGUAUCUCGUGUGUUCUUUUCUUACAAUAAAGGGUGGAAAAAAAACAAAGUUCUGAUUUAUUAUUGCCGUCAAUGAAACGCAUACCAGCAGUGAAAGGCUUAGCUGUUCAAAAAUAACAACGCACUCGCACACCUUUUAAAUUUAAAGUAUCAGGAGAAUGAGAAGCAUUAGAGGGAAAUCAGAUUAUCUUUAAAAGUAAAAUUGUCAAAGCAAAUUCGUCUCAGAUGUGCAAUAACUUCGCAGCCUUUGUUCUCUCCGAGCCUUAAUCUUGCAUGACAAGUCAACAAGCUGACAUUUAGUCACGACUGUGUGAACACAGACUGCUGUUACUUAUAAACCAGAGGGAGAACGCAAAAAAAAAAAAAAAAAGUACCUUAAUGUCUGUUCCCCAAGGCCUGAAGGCAUCAAUGGCGGCUUCAAGGAAUUCUUUCACAGUGUGUUCACUGGUGAAGUCACAAGAUUAUCAAACUAGAGGAGGACCUUGGUGAGUCUUGGUGAAGGUGAAAAUGUCGAACGCUGCACAAUAUCUGCAGCAGUUUCCAUGUGCAAGUUAAAGAACAGCUUCGUUACUGUUCACUCACGUCAAGUCAAGGUCAUUUUCAAUGGUCCUUUAAUUGUUUUUAAAGGGUUCUUCAUAAUCUGAACGGGUGCACGGGUGUUAAAUGCAGAUAAAUUGUGAUGUGUUUUGCAAUAACCAAAAAGGAAUUUUGUGUACGGUUAAAUAAAGUUGAGUUAAACUCGG